rnacentral:misc_RNA from 1 species
AAUCGUAAAUAAUUGGGAAAAUGAAGUAGAGUUACCAGCGUCUUUUUGGGAGAUGGAAAAAUUAAGGCAUGUUAAGAUUUGGGAUGCUAAAUUUGAUUUGGAAGAGGAUAAUCAGGGAUCCUCCGAAUUGGAAAAUUUGAGGAUAUUACAGUAUGUAAAAUUUCCAAUUGAUGGAAGGGAUAGGGUGGAUAUGUUAUCAAGGAGGUGUCCAAAUCUUCAAAAACUGCACAUCAACUUGGAAUAUCGGGGCAGUAAUAAUUCGGCAGAUUUAUUUUGUCUCACAUUAGAGAAUCUUACUCAGCUUCAAAAUCUUCGCCUAACUGUUGAGAGGUCCAACAUUGUAUCUGGGUUACAAUUGCCUUCAA